AGCCCCGCAGCGCAGACUCGGAGGGCGCCGUGGCGCGUCACAGACAUUCUAUCCCUUCCCACGACGUAUCGUUCUGUUUCGUUAGCCUUUCUUCAUCCUCCCCUCUGCGCCUGCGCCAUUCGUUGCCUCCCGCCCCCGAGAAGAACCCAUCGCUUCCGCGUUAGAUUCGAUCGAGACAUGGCCCGAGAGUACGAGGCGGCAUUGAAUUGCUUGUCCUCCCUCAUCACCCGACGCAGUCGAGCCGCUAGGGGCAACAAGGGCGACCGCUAUGAUCUGAUGUUCGACUACCUGAAGAUCUUGGAGUUGGAAGACGCGAUUUCCCAGCUUAAGAUUAUCCAUGUAGCUGGCACCAAAGGGAAGGGUUCGACGUGCACUUUUACUGAAUCAAUUCUGCGGUGUUGUGGGUUUCGAACUGGACUGUUCACGUCCCCUCACCUUAUCGAUGUCCGGGAGCGGUUCCGUCUUGAUGGGGUAAAAGUUUCUGAAGAGAAGUUUUUGGAGCACUUCUGGUGGUGUUGGAAUAGAUUGCAGGAAAAAAAUGGUGACAAUCUCCCUAUGCCUACCUAUUUCCGCUUCCUUGCCCUUCUGGCAUUUAAGAUAUUCUCAGCAGAGCAGGUGGAUGUUGCCAUUGUGGAAGUUGGUUUGGGAGGAAAAUUUGAUGCAACCAAUGUGGUGAAGGAACCAAUCGUCUGUGGAAUAUCGUCCUUGGGUUAUGACCACAUGGAAAUUCUUGGAAAUACACUGGGAGAAAUUGCAGGAGAGAAAGCUGGCAUCUUUAAGAAAGGAGUACCUGCAUGGACUGUACCCCAGCCUGAAGAAGCAAUGCGCAUGCUCGAAGAGAAGGCUUCUCAAUUAGGUGUUCCUCUUCAAGUAGUUUCACCUUUAGAUCAUGGACUACUGAAAAAUCAACAUCUUGGGCUAGAUGGCGAGCAUCAAUGUUUAAAUGCUGGCCUUGCUAUUGCCUUGUCCAGUGUUUGGCUUAAAACAACCGGAAAUUUACAAGGCAUGCAGAUAGACCAAAACAAUUUACCUGAGCAAUUUGUCAGAGGGUUAUCAAGGGCUAGUUUGGAGGGACGAGCACAGGUUGUCUCAGAUUCUUCUCUUGGGCAACAGCAGAACUCCAAUCUGGGAGGCUUGACUUUCUACCUAGAUGGGGCACAUAGCCCAGAAAGCUUGGAGGUGUGUGCAAAAUGGUUUUCCCGUGUUAUAAGAGAAGAUCCUUCACAUUUAGAGGAACAAAUUCACAAGAAACACCAUCCUGGACGGGGGGGUCACCCUAACUCACUAGGGGGGAAGGAGCACCUACAGAUGCUUCUUUUCAAUUGCAUGUCAGUGAGAAAUCCUCAGUUGUUGCUUCCACGUCUGGUAAACACUUGUUCUCAGCAUGGGGUCAAAUUCCAUAAGGCCCUUUUUGUACCAAACCAAUCAGCAUAUAACAAGGUUGGGUCUCAUGCAUCACCACCGACUGAUCCACAGCAAGUUGAUCUGUCAUGGCAGCUGACACUACAGAGAGUGUGGGAAAACCUCAUUCAUGGUGAACAAGGCUCAAGUUGCGCCAAUGCCUAUGGUGGCAGUUUAGUAUUUCCUUCGCUCCCGUUAGCUCUCAACUGGCUCAGGGAAAGUGUUCAACGAAGAAGAUCAGUUCAAGUUCAGGUUCUGGUAACAGGUUCCUUGCACCUUGUGGGUGAUGUUCUGAGAUUAAUCAGGAAGUGAUGUUUCCUCCUCGAGAUUAAUUAGAUAGCUGGAUCACGUUAUUUUGAUCCACCGAUUCUUUUCCACAUUGCCACUCUAUUUAAGACAAACAACAAUUGAAGAUUGUCUCGAACAGCAUCCUGAAGAUUAGUGAUUCUUCGAGUAGAUUGAUUAUAUCUUGUUCCAGGCCUUGGAAAAAUGGGAAUGCAAGUGAUGAUUGCAAGGGGAACAGGAAUUUUAGUUCGACUCUUUCAAUGUUGCACAACAUUGUGGUGCGGGAUGAAUGCUUUUAAAUUGGGUUGGAUUUGUUGAGAAUCGAAUGCCCACCCAAUCUUUGGUGUGGGGUUCUAUGCAGAAAUUUCAUCUCAACCCAGUUGGGUUGUCUUGUGAGGGCUUAGUGGCAGUUACUAAUGAUCCGCUCUUC